AACGCCCGGUAAAAACCUAGCGCUUCCCCACCCACGCCCCCACGCGACCCUCCCUCCUCCUCCUCGAUCUCCCUCCAAGCCGCCGUCGCCGCCUCUCCCCAUCUUCAUCCUCUCUCUCCUGCGCCACCGCUGUCUCUCCUCUUCCUCCCCACUCUAGCCCCUCCAGGUCAUUGCUCGCGGUGGUUCUAGAUUCAGCGCUGGUCGUCCCCAUGGGUGAGGAGGGGAAGCAGGGUCUUCAAGGUUGGUGGAGGUGCAGGGGAGACCGGCGGCGUGGGGACGACCAGCGAGCCAGGAGCCAGGGAGAGGCCAACGGCGAGCAGCAGCCAAAGAAAAGAAAAAGGAGAAGCGAGCGGGCAGCAGCGAGACCUAGCCGGUUUCUCCCCGCCGCCGCCUCUCCUUUCUCGCCCUCACCGGCCACCGGCCACCUCCCACCCCUCCUUCUCCGCCUCGUCGCCCUGGCCACCUUGUUCUCGAGCCGAGGGGCGACUCGGCAGGACGAGGGGAGCAGGGCAGCAGCCAGCCACGCCUCGUCCAUGCCGUGUGGUGGCCCAGAUGCGUCCGCCCCGUGCUCUGUAGGCGCCCGUCGGCCUCGAUCCGGCCUUUGCAGGAGGAGCUCGAGCCGAGGAGCGCGGCCUCGAUCCGGAAUCGGCAGGAGGAGGGGAGCAGCAGCCGGCACGCCUCGUCGCAAGUGAUUCCCUACCUCUUCUGGUUGCACCUCCCCCAUUUAAAUUCAAGUAACCAAGAACUUCAGUGAGAGUGUAUUUGCCAACUGUCCAAGCGUGCUUCUAUACAUGGGCGGCGUCACCACGACCAGUUUGACGAUUCAAGCCAAGGUCAAAACAGUUUAAAGGAUGAUCAGUACAGUGGAGGGGAUUGUAUGACAGUCCAAGGAAGUCUAGCAGAAUGCAGUUUUCUGGGACCAGUUUUUUAACCGUGGACUUUCCGUGGAAGGAUACGUACAUCUGCCUUAUUCGAUAACCAAAACUGGGUCCUCUACCAAGCACCUGUCCAGCCCUGUGCGAGCUACACUUCAAUUUGUAUUCUCAGAUAGUAGCGGCUGCCGGAAGAGGAGAGAUCGAGGACGGGUCCCUAUUCUGUAGGAGACACCAACAUAGAUGAGCUAUUUCUUCCACUUUUCCUCAUCUUUCCAUGGUUAGCUACAACCAAGUUGUAGCUUGGUCGGAUUUGUUGCAUGAGGCAGGAGAAGAAUAAGAAAAUUUGUCAGAUUUUUCGUGUGCAAGUUCGGCAGCGGGCAAUGGUCGAGAUAGAGUUGGGUGCACAUCAUAUAUAUAAAAGUACCUCUAAUUUAACUCUAUAUGGAAGAUUUAAAAGCCUUUGUGAAAGAUUCCGGUUUUGUAGAAGCCAAUGAUCAGACACACCGUGACCUUACUUCUGGAUACAAUAUUGAUGAGGUUAAUUCUUUACAAAAGUAGAUUUCAGUGUUUUUUGCCGCAUUUUGAUGGGUUCCUCUUUUGCUUGUUUUCAGAAUUGUUGUGACUACAUUUCUCCGCAUACCAUUCAUGUUGCAAUAUGUUUGCUAAAUUAAAUGUGCUCUACUUGAAAGAAAAUAACGCACACCAUAAUCAUAUCCCUUGCCAGGCUAUGGUUGACUACAUGCUAAGAUUUCGUUCCAUUAUGCUUAUAUUGCUAGGCUUUUAGUUCAUCCUUCUCUUUCCCUAGGUGGCUACUGCCAAGUACAUAGACGUCGAUUUACUUGCUAGGCCUGAUUGGAUUUUUCAUCUUUUUUACCCGUUAUUCCCUUUGGACUUAUUGAUCUGCGAAUUUGCUUUACAACUGAUGGUGCCACAUUAUGUGAUACUGAAACUAAACCAAGGUGCGUAUUUGGGAAAUUGAUAAUGAAAUAUUGGACUUCGAAUCAACAGAAAAGAGAUGCUUUGUGACCAAAUAUAUAUCUCUGAAACGUCUGCACAAUAAUGUUAUAGUUUAUGUUAGAUGGCAAAGUUUCAGAUUUUUAUUAUGACAGCAAGAUGCCAACGCAAGGUGCUUGUGCAUGAAUAAACCAUAUGAAUAUGAGAUGCACAACUUCCUGUGUAAUUCUGAGACUUUUGGGCAAGUCAUCUUCAUAGGUGUGAAAGAAGAUUCUGAUUACAUAUAAGAAAAUCAUCCAAUUUUUUGUUCAUCUGCAUCCAAGCGGCGAUACCACCUGCAAGAUAUACUCCAUUGCUUCUAAGCAGCACAUCGGCAGGUCGAUUCCUCGGGUGGAUUGGAUUCUCACCCGCUCCAAGUGAAACUUGAGCGACGGCAUGCAAGGGACUACCAAAGAAGAAGAGAUGAUGCAGGUUCAGAAUCUGACAUUAUCUGUGUUAGUGCUGGCAGAUCCAAAGAUGGAAAGAAACAGACAGUUUCACACACUAGCAACAGUAGGAUCAUCAGCAAAAAGCAUACCGUGAUGAAAAAAAAUCAGAAUCCCAACAAAAGUGCUUUUGGAUGCUAUGAUGCAGCAGCUAGGCCUCCCAAAUGCAGUGUACUCAACAGAAGGCAAGAGCAAUCGGUCUUGAAGCAACUAUUCACUUCUAUCUCUCCAAGCAUCAACUGGACAACAAUUCUUCCAAGACAAUCAACCGAAGACCAACUAGCAAACGAAGCUCUCAAGUACAUGAAAAGCAUCCACGGUAAAGUGUUGUAGGACAUAAACUACGACAAGAUGCAACUGAUCCAGCAACAGUGUGAAUCUCUUGAGCAUCAGUAGAAAGAAAAACACAACCUAAUAGACUAUUUUAGCAACAGCUGGUGCCAUAGCCUCGGUGGAGAUCACAUGGCAUCAAAGGACCUUUACUGUAUAAUAGAUAGCAACUUCACAGUCGGAUCAACAUCUAAAGCAAUGAUCUGAAUCAUAUUUUGUCGCAAGUAAGAUAUGUUGUGGAUCGUCUCA